rnacentral:lncRNA from 1 species
UUAAGAAACAGUGUCUUAUUCAGACUUUCCUUUUUUUUUUUCCUAGCUGUGCAUUUAAUUUAUAAUGUAGAGUGACAAGCCAGAUAAGCUCUCAGUGCUUCAGUGUCCCUUUCCAGAGCAGCAAGGUGACAGAGGUCAUCACACUUUUAGAACUGAGGAAAGCUCCAGGGGAGAUGGAGAGCACUAAAGUUUCUCCAUCUCUCUCUCUCUGUCUCUUUCUCUGUCUUUCUCGUGUGUGUGUGGGUGUGUGUGUGUGUGUGGUUUAAUUUGAAAUCCUGCUAAGUUUUCUUGGAGUUAAAUUAGACUUAAAAGCUGCGAGUUGAUGCUCAUGUUCCUGCCUUAUCCCAGCUCUACCGAGAACUAUAGUUCUCUUGUUAAAUGAGGACAAAACCCUGCUGUGGACAGUAGAAUAACAAGUCUUGCUGGCUGAGCCCUGAGGUUUGCACGAAGCAGAUGAAGGCUACGUGGGUCUUCCAUAGCCUCCAGAAGAUGAUCUCUUUUAGAGGAAAGAGAUGAGUUCCCAUCUAUUCUUCAUUGGGUAAUAAGACUUAAACAGCAAAGAUGGGUGAAUUUUAGGAAAAUCACUGUCUUUGGCAAAGUUCCUUGUAGAAUCCCAUACAGUUAACUCUUUCAACUUAGCAAAGAUACAUGGUGGACAUAAAAAUCAUGUCUAAUUUUAUGGGACAACUUGGGUUCUCAUAUUUUCUCACUUCUUUCAUGGUAACAUCUACGAUGCUCAACUUUUGUGACCAAAUAUGAUAAAAGUGGAAAAUUAAUACACUAACCUAUUAUGCACUCAACAUUAUAAGUUAUACUGUGGUCUCUGUUCAAGGCUCAGUCUCUCAUGAAAUAAGAUAUCAUCAGACCACAAGCUUCUAGAGAGGCAUGUGUAGACAGGGCCACAGUGCACAGCCAUUUGUUAAAGGAGUAGUUAAGAAGGGUGGGGACAGGGCGGGAGCUAUGCCAUGCUCGGCCCUGCAUUGUAAGGAGAAUUAUGUAUCCUAAAAUCAACAUAAGGAGGGGAUUAUUACUUCUAACCACUGAGACUUGGAUAGGGUAAUUAAUUUGCCCACAGAAAUUGUUAGAGCUGGGACCUGAAUCCAGAUCUGUUCAACUCCAAGACGGAGGCUUGUAUUCUAAUUUCAACAACCUCUAUUCAUGACGAGGCAUGAUAUGCCAGGGUGUACCAGAGAAAUAUAGACAGCACAUUGAGUGAUUUGAAAUUUAAUUUAGAUGUGAGACUCAAAAUAAGUCUAUCUUUCAGGCAGGUCACUUUGGGCUUGGUUUCCAGGUUCUAGAAAGUAUAUGUUCUUUCUUCCCAGAAAAAUUACUUAAGUAGUGAAGUUUGAGAAACCAAGACUUAUCUCAUGAAACCUUCUUACAUUUGUUAGGGAUCAAGUUCUUUGUUAAGCUGAAUCUAAGCAGCAGUAACAACAGUGCCUUAUUAUGGUCUGUGAAGUGCUUUAGCUCCAGAGGCCCUGACCUCUGAUGGUAAACAGAAACUUUUAUUUUGCAGGAGGCCAUUAUUGAAAACCGAGCUCUGUGGAUGACAAUCAAAAAAUGUGUUGGCUAUCAAUCAAAAAGUCAGUAUCGAAUAUGGCAGAGGAACUUGGCGAAUGAUUCCAGCUGGCCCCCGCUAAACCAGAUCUCCUACUCUGAUAUGCCUGGGCGUGGCAGGGGGGUGUCCUACAGCAAUCCUGUGUUUGAAAGCAAUGAGGAACAGCUCUGAAGGGAAUGUGAUAGCCAAGUGAUAUCACAGAGAAACAAUGACAAAGUGACCUGUCUCAGUGAUGUUAAAGCAGAGGGACUCUUAUAAUAUCAACUGGAGUUUGGGGGAUACCAAAAUCAAUAUCAAAUUAUGGUGACAAAUUAAAGUCUGUCUGAGAAAGUACUUUCUACAGAGAAGAACACCACCCCCUAGAAGAGUACAUUCCUCUUGGCUUUUGAAAGUAUUGGAGGCACCCGGUGGACCAUGGAUGGGCCAAGGAUUGAAGUUGGUCAAGAGAUUGGCAAGCCGAGGAAAACACAGAAUCUUUCUUCUUAGGAUAAGUCUUUCUUUUUUUCCUUUUGUAAAAAAAUGAGUUGAAGGGAAGUCAUACUAUGUAUAGUUAUAGAGUCGUAACAAGCUACAGUUCAGUUCUGAACUUUUACUUCAUUGAUGGAAAAACUAAUCUAUGGGAAUCAUCAUGGCAGUCUUGACUCUCUGAUUUCCUUUCCUGUGCAGUAAUUUUCAGGUUUGAAGCUUCUCCCUCUGCUUCUGGGUUUCCCCUACAUAUUGUUCAGGAUAAGUUCAGCCGACGCUCCAAUAACAACCCCCACAUCUCAGUGCCUUCAUAUGCUGGAGCUUCUUUCUUACUCCAGGUGACUCUAGGACAGCUGCACUGACAGUGCCGACUGAUGACCUGAUGGAUCCCCCUGGGCUCCAUGCUUCUGGUGGCAGGGGAAGGAAGAUACUGGAGACCACAUGGGGUGCUUCACAGUCUCAUCUCAAAGUCUAUUCUGCUCUCGUUUCACUAGCCAGGGAUUUGGCCACAGAGCUGGAAAGUGUGGUCUCUUGUGUCUGGGGACUCUUCAUAGUUCUGUGAGUGUGUGCGUGCGUGCGUGUGUGUGUGUGUGUGUGUGUGUUUCUGGGGAUUGAACCCAGAGCUUCAUGCACUCUAAACAAGCACUCUACCAUGGAGUUACACCUCCAGCCCUUAGGGGGUCUUCAUAGACAUGUGGCCUGUGCCCACACAGGUUCCCCUGCUUCCAAGGGCUUCGUGCUUGGUUUAAUGCUCUGCUGCUUCUAUGGUAUAACUUUUUAAACAAAGUUGCCUCAUUUUCAUUUUUGCACUGGGCCCCACAAAUGAUGUAGCUCUCUGACUCACAUUCUAGGGGAAGCAAGGAAAGUAGCAUCUCAAAGAGCCUGAGUAUUAUACACUGAACUCUUCUUCUCCCAACCCUGUGAAUGUCUCUGUUUUAGGAACUCCUAAUCUCAUGUGCUCAACUCCAAGAGUUUCCACUUUUCUGCUUCUUAUUUUUGAGAAAUUUUAGUCUCGUGCAUUUUGCAAAAUAUAUAUCAUCAUUAUAGAAGUCACCUCAUAACCUUUGCAUUUUCUAAGUUUAAGCCUUCAGUUUCUAGAAAACAACAAAAAAUUCUCUUAUUUUAUCACUAUUACAACUUGUUCAUAUUGUAUUAAUUCAGCAUAGAAAACACCCAGUUUUCUGUUAAGUCACUAGAUGAUAUUGAAUUCUAGGAGAACAUUCACAUACAGUAUUUCAAAGCAAAAGUAAAAUUUCAUCAUGAACAUGAAAUCCUAAAUGAGUGCUUUGAGCAGGACAUGAGUGUUCUGGUCCUGGUAGGCUUUGCUAUCUAUGAACAGCACCUGCCAGUGUCCCUUUCCCCAGCUGAGCUCUUGAGGAUAGUUGGUAGCUCUGGGACUGUGACUACAGCUGCUUCUGGGAAAAUCAGUGUCUCAUAGCCAUGAGGGUACCGGUGCUUCUGCUGCUGAUUUUAAAGUAGGGUAUGAGGAGGUCCAUGUCCCAAGGCUGCAUAAUCAUUGUCUCCUUUGGUACAGAAGGAAAUGUUUCCAUCUGCAAAGACAGCCUCACCACUGAUAUGGUGGCUCAAAACUCUUUUUUCUAAAACAGAUAGAUUUUUUUUCAUUUUCCAAAAGUAGACAGUUAUAGCAGGGGCAUAGAGGUAGCUCACAACCUCGUCAUGACUAAGAACAGUGUGCACAGUUAGUACUUUAAAAAUCCCCUCACCAAGUGCUUUCCCUCUACUAACUCAUUGGAAUUGCACAAUUCUCCAGUGACUACACAAGGAAGGGCUUAUCUUUCCCAGAUGAGAAAAUGGAGAUUUAGGUUGGUAAGAGCAGACCCAGACCUCAAACACAGAUCUUCUGAGCAAGUUUUAUAUUGCUCCCAAAUAGUUCCUAAUUAGAAAGUUCUAGUAGGGCAUGUUUUCAGAGUGAUCUCACAGUUAAGCAAAGAAUGGAUUUCUUAUUUGCCAGGUGGAAGGAGGUUACCCUUUGCUAAUAACAGGGCCUCUGUUCAAAUGAAUGCAGGCAUCCUGCCAGGCCUGGGACAAAGGUGUGCUAAAAACAAAACAAAACCAAAAAAAAAAAAGAGUAUCUGUUUGUCUUUCUGAGGCUGUGAGUUGCUCUUGCCUUGGUCCUCAUGUAUUCCAAUCUCAGAAACUGUCAAUGGCUGGCAGGAAGCAGGGGUAGAGGACUCUUGUCCCGCACUAGCCACCAACCCUAAAUCUUUGCGAAAGGGAUUCUUCUUAAAGACCGCCUUCUUGGGACCAACUGCAUCUUAGAAGCAGUAAUUGAUACUGGCUGAGCGCGGAAGGAGCUGGGGAACCGCGAGAGCAGCACUCAGAUACUUGAUAGAUGGUCACGGAAAAGAAGGUGCUUGAGCCCGCAGAACAGGGAUGAGGGGCAAAGAGCAGGUGGAAGGACCCACAGCUAAUGUGAAGACCCCAGCCCCAGCAGCCAGCUCUGAGGGAAGUGAAAACUGGGGAGCACAGGCUGUGUACCCGGUAAUAUCGCAGGUAUUAGUGGCUGGUCCAAGACCAAUUAGAGAAGGGAGUCAAGUAUCAGAUGGAACUUGAUUACCUGCAAAACCCCUUCCCCACUUGGGACACCCAGUGUCUGAGUCUUACACCAUGAUGUGAAUCAUUUACUACAACUGUCCACACAGAAUAUCACAUGGAUACACUUGGCAGAUGGGCUGGUGUGGACAUACCAAUUUGACAGCUCUUUGCCUUGGAUGGGAACUUCUAAUGGGGAUAAGAGCCUAGAAAAGAGGCAGAGUGAGGGCUCCUCACUGCCUAAUCAACAGCUCCAGGAAUAUUUUCGCUGUGUGUAUUUUCUUGAAAAGAGGUAUGGGAAAACUUUGAGUAAAUGAUCCUGGGAGAGGGCCCCAAAUGUGAGUAUAGAGUUACCUGCCCCAAUACACUUUCCUGAGCAAGAUUCGGAGAAGAAAAGGACAUCAUCAGUGAUUCAGAUAAUCAGAGGGGUCUCCCAUGUGUUCAUUCCAAGGUAUCCAAUGCUUGUCUGAUGAGAAGCACCCUGGCUUGUGCUCUCCCCACUCCACAUGCGAAAAUCCGAGAGUGGAAAUAUGUCUUGUCCUCAGUGUUCUCAUGUGCUCACAGAAAUGUGCAUGUACAGUAGCCGAUGUGGUGAUGGGAAAGUGAUUAUUUAUUCAGAAACUUGUAUUUAGUUUAUUCGAUAAUAAAUUAUUCUGUACAAAAGAGAUAAGUAAAUCUACAAUCCUAUUGUCCUAAAACUUCUGUCUUUCUGUCUCUGUCUCUGUUUCUGCCUCUCUCUCUCUCCAGGGAAGUCUUUCAUUCUGGCUAACACAAUCUGGAUGUUCUCUUCCAGCAAUGUGACUCAAAGUCACAUCUUCACAAAGUUCCAGGCACUUCCUCACUCCACGCAAGCUGUUAUUCCUGCAUUAUUCACAGGGCUUUACAGUUUGCAGAAUGUUUCCAUACUUUUUCUCUCAUUUAGGCUUUAUAGCAAUCUUGGAAGGAAAGCCAGGCAAGAUCUGCUCUCCCCCUACUUCUAAUGAGAUUCCAGAUUCUCCAAGAGGCUCAGUAAUGGCCAAGGACAUGCAGCUAGUUGCAGAGGAGCUGAAUGCAGACGCGGGUCCUCUAUCAGCAAAUUCCCUGCUGUGUCAUUCUUUAAUGUUGUUUUCUUCGAAAUGAAAAGUUUGUAGCAUUGAAAAACACGCUGGCAGCAAGGCGACUAUCCAAUGCAAUCGCCACCAUGAGUAUAAUUUCCUUCAGAAAGAGAUUUUAGUUUCUCAUAGAAGUUCUCCUGAACCUGACCGUCAAUCUCAGGAAAGGUCACCUCCCACGACUGAGAGUGUAACAUCAUAAAACCAGUGCCCUGUGAGCCUGCUCCACGUGAUCAGAUGAAGCUCCCUUUCUGAUUGCAGCCUCCUGAAGCAGAAGCCUAAAGCCUGCUGGAAAGGCAUUCAGCCCCUGCUUUGCACAGGAUGGUAUAGAUUCGUCUUUUGGCUUUGAACUAUGUUCAUUUCUGUAUGCAUAAUUAAUUUAAAAGCUGCUGCCACAUAGCAUUCUGUCUGCCCUUUGGUUUCUAUUAGAUUUGUUAAAAAGACCUUCUAAAGUUGACCAAUAAAAUGUUUUGUUUUGUUUUUUCCAAAAUUGAACAAACAUACAAAUAACAACAACAGAACAAAGCUCUGCUGGAGUUGCUGAGAGGGCCCAGGAGUGAGCCCCCUGACCUUUCCAGACACGCCAGGCCCAUUGCUCCCCUGCUUGGCCUGCUCUCUGCCUUGCAGGCUCUGGAUCUGCUCCCCUCCUGCCCAGGACUGGGGCUCCUCUUCAGAUUUCAGCUCAAUUGCCAUUUCUUUCUAGUAACCUUCCCUGAGCACUUCAUCUAAUGUCACCAAGCCUUGAGAUUGGUUUGUUUUCUCGUCAUGCUUGUGCAGCCAUUCAGGUGACUGAGGUUGAAAGGGAACUACUUGUUCAAGAUCACAUUCUUAGAAAAUUGGUGAUCUGAGUCUAUUGACUUCUAAAUCAAGGUUCUUCAUAAUCCUCAUCUCUAGCCAGAUGCUGCUGAUUCAAUUAGCUAAUCCACUGAGAAAAAGAAUGCAGGACGUUGUAGAGUCCUGUGUGCGUUGAAUUCAGAGCACUCCAGGAGUCAUUUAGACUCUCCCAGCUCUGUUCCCUUGCUGUCUCCUCCCUCCUGGCUCCCUCUCCUGACUGUCAACUCCAUGAAAAGUCUGGUGAAUCACUGCCUGUGAUAAAGGCUGUACACGUGUUGACUAUGGAGACUCCAUUGAGCCUGAAGUCGUGGAUAAGGAUGGCCAUACCGCAGAAAGGGCUCACUGUGUGUAUUAAGCACUGCAUUUGUAUUAAUAUGCAAACCCUGAGUGGUGGCUCUGUGUGACAUCAGGGAAGCUAUGUGGUUAAAUGAUGGCCCUGACUUUCACAAUCACAAACAGGUAUGAAAUGAAGAGUGCAAACUGUCCCUCCUCCACUCAGUUCCUAAGUUGUUGGACUCUUUCUUGGCGAUGUCCCUCAUGCAGAACCUCCUCUCCUCCAGGCCCUUGAUCACCAUCUGACUGCUUAAAAAGAGCCUCUUAACUGGUCUCCCUGGCUGAGGUCUCUAGUAUCUUUCCUACUCAAGUCUCUACAACUUCUGUUGACCAAAUCUGAUGAUGUCAUGUCCAUGGUCAGAAACAUUUAACAAUGUGAAUUAUCUACCAUACAAAGUACACAUUAUUUAGUAAGGAAUUUAGAGCCCUCCCCUGGUCACAUCUGGUCUCAUUUCAGAAUGAAACUUUCCAGUAAUCAGUACUCAUUUUUUCCAACUCAAAACUUUUGCUCAUAUGUUCUUUCUAUGGGGUGUCAGUAAUUCUUACUUGUAUUUCCACAAUCCAAAGCCUGCCUAUUUCUCAACAUCCAAAUAGGAAGCCACCCGGUCUGUCAAUCCAGGAGGGAGUAUCCUUGCAUCGGCACACCCAAGUCCUUUGGGUUUUACCUGCCAUAUUCAACCCUUAUAUUCUGGUUCUGUAGUGUCUCAACUUCCUCUGCCUUCCACCCAACUUCACUUUGACUAGGAAGUACAUUCUUUGAGGCAGGGGAUCAAGCCUGGGUCACCUCAUUGUCCUGCCUGCACCUAGCACAGAGUCAUGCUUAGGGGUUCAGCAAGCAGCUGUGGCAUGAUGGAAUAAAAAAUAUAAUCACUGGGAUAUUUCGUUGAUUUGUUUGUCCUCCUUUGUUGCUGAACAUCUGUUUUUCA